rnacentral:lncRNA from 7 species
AGACACCUACCCUGCUCUUACACCAGUUUUGCACUAGGAUUACUCCACUGAAAUAAAUCAGCUCUUUAACAGGAAUCCACCGUACUGACGUAUGAGCAGUUCAUAAACUUUAUGCAAACAAGGAAAUCAUGUUACACAGAAGGAACUGAAAAAUAGUGGUCUGGAUUCAUUCCUCUUCUAUUUAGAAGUUCAGCUUGGCGUGCUUGCAGUAUGUAUGCUACACGAUAUGGAAGUACUUACCCCAAAGAAAUGAGGAAUGUAGAGUCUUCAUCCUGGGAAAGAUCUGGUAGAGGUGUGUACAACUGUCCCUCAGAGAAGCUGAAUUGGAAACAGCUGAUCACAUUCUCUCACUUUUAUCAAGAGUGGAACUCAUCAACUGAAAUAAACUCGUGGUGGAUUCCAAAGAAACAUGAGAGUUGCCUAAUGGUAAGGAAUUAAAUUUCAGAACUCAUUGCCUUGGGAUGCAGGGAUGGCUUCAGAGAGAUUAAGUACAUCUGCAACAUAACGAUUAUUCAAAGGCUGAUUUCAGACUUGGGACUCUGGACAGUUGUGAAUAUUUGGUCUGAAUCAGGAUGACCAUACAUACACUCUUUGUUUUGUUCUUCUGAAUGAGUGCCUGAGCAAUCAUUGAGGGACAUAGGAAGCUUGACUUCCAGCCAGCCAUACCAGUGAUUUCUCUGAAGGUGGCAUGAAGGACUCAAAGCAUUGCCCCACGUCAUUCAAGAGAUCUGUGGUGCAGCAGGGUAACUCAGCUCUACAGCUAGCAACUGAAAACAUCCAUCAUGUCUACUCAGCAUUUUUUUGACUUACACAGCUUUACCCCAGAGCUCAAGCAAUUAUUUGCAGCCUGAAAAAAAGGGCAGCUACAGUCACUCGUAAGAUUUGGUCUCCUGCAUGGCUAUACAGGAGACUUCAGUCAUCUUGUGGGCACAAAUACAGUUUCUGAAUUGUGAGUGUAUAUAUGUAUGUUAUCAUACUCUUUCACUGUGAAAGUAGUAACUACUGUAUGUGGUAAAAUGAUAUAUUGUUGUCCGCAGAAUGUCUUUGGCAACAGGAUGUUCACUAGCCUUGGAAUUUUGCCUUGUAUAAAUAUUUUUAAUCUACUCCAUGUAGGCAUAUUUUGGCUGCAAAAUAAAGGGUUUUGGAGAUU